rnacentral:rRNA from 4 species
UCUGAAAUCAAGUGGGAUUACCCGCUGAACUUAAGCAU